AUGAACGCUGGCGGCGUGUCUUAGGCAUGCAAGUCGAACGAAGCAAUUUGAGAUUAUAUCAAGGGUUGCUUAGUGGCAGACGGGUGCGCAAGACAGUGGUAACCUACCUCUAACAUGGGAACAACUCCGCGAAAGCGGGGCUAAUAUUCAAUAACAAUGCGGGGUCAUAAGACAUUCGCAUUUAAAGGCUUGUAGCAAUACAAGUCGGUUGGAGAAGGGCCUUUGGUCUAUCAGCUAGUUGGUGAGGUAAAAGCUCACCAAGGCGAUGACGGAUAGGGGGUGUGAGAGCAUGGCCCCCCUCACUGGGACUGAGACACUGCCCAGACACCUACGGGUGGCUGCAGUCAAGAAUAUUCCCCAAUGGCCGAAAGGCUGAGGGAGCGACGCCGCGUGGUUGAAGAAGUCCUUCGGGAUGUAAAAACCUUUUGCAAGGGAAAAAUACUGAUGGUACCUUGCGAAUAAGAGGUGGCUAACUCUGU
rnacentral:rRNA from 1 species